rnacentral:rRNA from 1 species
ACAGGGAUUGCCUUAGUAACGGCGAGUGAAGCGGCAAUAGCUCAGAUUUGAAAUCUGGUCCUUUCAGGGCCCGAGUUGUAAUCUGUAGAGGAUGCUUCGGCGUUGGCUCCGGCCUAAGUUCCUUGGAACAGGACGUCACAGAGGGUGAGAAUCCCGUACGUGGCUGGUCUCCUUCGCCAUGUGAAGCUCCUUCGACGAGUCGAGUUGUUUGGGAAUGCAGCUCUAAAUGGGAGGUAAAUUUCUUCUAAAGCUAAAUAUCUGCCAGAGACCGAUAGCGCACAAGUAGAGUGAUCGAAAGAUGAAAAGCACUUUGGAAAGAGAGUUAAAUAGCACGUGAAAUUGUUGAAAGGGAAGCGUUUGCAAUCAGACUUGCCCGCGAUGGCUUAUCCGAGCUUCUGGCUCGGUGCACUCCUUCGCGGUCAGGCCAGCAUCAGUUCGGGCGGUUGGAUAAAGAUUUUGGGAAUGUGGCUCCUCUCGGGGAGUGUUAUAGCCCAGAAUGCAAUGCAGCCUGCCUGGACUGAGGUCCGCGCUUUUGCUAGGAUGCUGGCGUAAUGGUUGUAAACGACCCGUCUUGAAACACGGACCAAGGAGUCUAACAUCUAUGCGAGUGUUUGGGUGAAAAACCCAUGCGCGUAAUGAAAGUGAACGGAGGUAGGAACCCGUAAGGGCGCACUAUCGACCGAUCCUGAUGUCUUCGGAUGGAUUUGAGUAAGAGCAUAGCUGUUGGGACCCGAAAGAUGGUGAACUAUGCGUGGGUAGGGUGAAGCCAGAGGAAACUCUGGUGGAGGCUCGCAGCGGUUCUGACGUGCAAAUCGAUCGUCAAACCUGCGCAUAGGGGCGAAAGACUAAUCGAACCAUUGAACACUACUAGGUGGUUUAGAGGCAGCUAAAAGGGCUUGCCUAGUCCCUCCAUUCGGGGCAACAUCGUCAAAUUGCGGGGACGUCCUGAGAGCUUAAACUACCGCGGCCGGUCGAAAGACACGGUGCAGCACCGGGGUAAUGACCUAGGGUAUGGUAAAAACGUUUAAGAUUGGAUAAUCCGCAGCCAAGUCCUACGUCUCUUUGUAGAUAUGGAUGCAGUUCACAGACUAGAUGGCGAUGGGUGUGACACGCGGUCAUGCUUAAGAUAUAGUCGAUACCUCGUGGAGACACGAGCAGUAGGCCAAAGUCCACUGGACGGAUGGGCACUCUUAUAGGGUGCUUCCGGCGGACCCGAAGCCUUACUGGGGAGUACUCUAUAGUAU